AUUGGUUGGUCAGGCAUUAAGGCAUUUUUCUGUUAAUGACCUAUGCAAGGUUCGUUGUAUCGGUACCGGACGGUGUGCCAGUAUCGGUGCUGGUGUCAGACCGGUAUGGUACCGGUAUCAUACCGUACCGACAUACGGUACGUCUAGGCGUAUCGGUCCGAUAUCGGUAUACAAUAUUUUUUUCAAUUUUCAUUUUUUUUUAGAUUUUUGAAGUUAAUAAUUGAUAAAUACAACCUCAAUAUGGCAUUAUAUUGCAUAUUAUUGACAUAUUUGGGUUCAAUUUGGAGUUAGGUUGCGGUGCAAAGACUUUUGAUCCAAAAUUUUAAACAUAUAUUUAUUUAUUUUCUUCUAUUUUUAUUUUAUCUCAUUUUUAUCCUAUUUUUAACAACAAAAAUAAAAAAAAUAUUUACUAACAAAAUAACAGAUUAUCUUACCUCCGGCCAAAGAUCAGCCUCUUCUCAAAUCACUCCAAUUUCACGAAAUUUUUGCCUUCUUUUCUAAUUUUUUGGAGGUCUCAACGAUUAAGUUGCCCACGGCCAUGGGUAUUUUCUGAGAACUCUCAAAGAACACCGAAGGCCUGGUGCUUUAAUAAGCACCAGGCCCUCCCCCCAUGUGAAGUGGGCUUAAUAAGCACCAAGCCCUCCCCCCCAUGUGAAGUGGGCCACGCCCAUUUCUCUCCCCUCUCCCCCCAACCACGUGAAAAGGCCCCCACCUUCCCCCCUCCCCCCUCCCCCAUGUGAACUCUUGGAUGGUACGGUUUGGUUCAUUCCGAACCAACGGCGAACCGAGAUAUACCGCCUAGUUCUGGGGCGGUAUGGGCUCGAAUCGCAUCGAACCGGGUGGUUCGGUGCGGUUCGGGGUCGUUUUUCGAAAAACAGGCCCAAAUCGGACCGAUAAGGGAUCGGUCCGGCUCGGUACGCCCCGUACCGGGCCGAACGGUCCGGUACGGCAAACCAUAGUUCGGCCCGGUACGGCAAACCAUGGACCUAUGUUUAUUCAUACUUUCGAGGUUGUCUAUAUAGGCUGCUGCCUUUGCCUUGCUUGAGAGAUGGUAAUACACUAUUCUAGGAAUAUUUUACAAUAUGGAAUCAUCUAGACAUCUAGAGGGUUGUUUGUUGUUUCAACCGAUAUGUUGGUUGUUAUGCUAGAUGUUUGGAUGGAUGCAUGAUGUGUCAUCUAAAAUUCAUCUGAACUUUGAUCAUCUUAAUCAGAUAGUUGUUUUUCACCCUAAGCCA
rnacentral:lncRNA from 1 species